rnacentral:rRNA from 1 species
CAGUAGCCACGGUAAUACGGAGGGGGCUAGCGUUGUUCGGAAUUACUGGGCGUAAAGCGCACGUAGGCGGCUUGGUAAGUUAGAGGUGAAAGCCCGGAGCUCAACUCCGGAAUUGCCUUUAAGACUGCCGAGCUAGCAGGUGAGAGAGGUAAGUGGAAUUCCGAGUGUAGAGGUGAAAUUCGUAGAUAUUCGGAAGAACACCAGUGGCGAAGGCGGCUUACUGGCUCAUACUGGACGCUGAGGUGCGAAAGCGUGGGGAGCAAACAGGAUUAGAUACCCCCGUAGUCCCUGUCUCUUAUAA